rfam:Environmental sequence XZS11384.b1, whole genome shotgun sequence.
ACCGCCCGACAGCGCAAUGCGCCCUCGGGCGU